CCGAAAUACCCGACCCGAACCCGAACGGGUACCCGAACACCCACCCCUACUAAUUAGAAACAUUAAAAUAUUUUCUAAGCAAAUGUAAUUAAUAUGAUAUCAACAUGUGCAAGUUUACUGUUUGAAUAAUAAGGAAAAUCUUUAAUAUUUGUCUUAGUUCAAAAUCUUGUCCAAGGCUAAACUAAAUCGAUAAUUAUUAUCCCCUAGCUAUAUAUGGGCUUAAUGAAAUCGAUAAUAGUUUUGGGUUUGUCUACAUAAGUGAUUGAUUAAAAUAAAUGAAAAACAAAAUUCAAAAAAAUCGACCAAUAGAAUUAUAACAAUUUUUCUGAGAAACUAUAUAUUAAUGUCAUGUCAGCAGAAAUCACUAAAGUGACUUCUCUUUUAAUGUAUAGGAGGAUUAUAAUGAAGAAUCCAGUUUUACUUUCCAACGCAUAUGUAUAACACAUCUCACAUUAUUAAAUAUCUAAUUUUGUAGUAUUCUGUAGGUAACUGAAAUAUAAACGAUGUGGGUCCCACAAAUUGGAUUAUGAUUGAUAUUACCGAUAGUUAGUUAGAUAGUAUCCAUAAAUAUCUUUAAAUAAUUAAUAUUGUUAAUUAACAAUAAAUAUAGAAGUGUCCCAUAUAUUCUUUACAAUUACUUUCAUAAAUAAAAUGUGAUAUCUCUUGUAUAUUAAAAGAGAAGCAUACAACAUUUGAGUUAGCCAUGCGUCGUAUUACCACAAUGAGUCUUAUAAUUUUUAAAAAAAUAUGUUGGUCCAUUAAGAUAUAUAAUAAACUUUUUAUUAAACUAACCAUAAAUUCGUUAUAAAUGUUUUUCAUUCUUUCCUUAAAUAAAAAUUACAAAAUUGCCUAAUGUGGCUAAAAUAUAUAUGUAAAUUAAUGAUUUUGAAUAAUAAAUAUUUGAUUAAAAAUAGUGUAUUCUCUAUCAUAUUUGUUUACUUUAAAUUAAUAAAAUAAAUUAAACAACUACAUUAGCCAUAUAAUAAAAAUUUUAAAUUUUCUGUAUAUAUUAUAUUUGAUUUUUUUUAAACGACUAUAAAUUACUAAAACUGUUAAAAGUCUCACAUUCAAAUUUUUGCGAUCCAUGUUUUAAAGGUUUUUGUUAUGAUAAAAUAUAAAUAAUUACAAAAUCAUAUAAGUAGGAAGUCUCAUUUAAUAAAUAUUAAGUGUAAAAGAUAUAUAUU